rnacentral:rRNA from 1 species
AUUGAACGCUGGCGGCAGGCCUAACACAUGCAAGUCGAGCGGAAACGAUCCUAGCUUGCUAGGAGGCGUCGAGCGGCGGACGGGUGAGUAACGCGUGAGAAUCUACCCAUGAGUGGGGGACAACCCGGGGAAACUCGGGCUAAUACCGCAUACGCCCUACGGGGUAAAGCAGGGGACCUUCGGGCCUUGCGUUGAUGGAUGAGCUCGCGUCGGAUUAGCUUGUUGGUGAGGUAAAGGCUCACCAAGGCGACGAUCCGUAGCUGGUCUGAGAGGAUGAUCAGCCACACCGGGACUGAGACACGGCCCGGACUCCUACGGGAGGCAGCAGUGGGGAAUCUUGGACAAUGGGGGCAACCCUGAUCCAGCCAUGCCGCGUGUGUGAAGAAGGCCUUCGGGUUGUAAAGCACUUUCAGCAGGGAGGAAGGCUUACCCCUAAUACGGGUGAGUACUUGACGUUACCUGCAGAAGAAGCACCGCUAAUUU